UCAGCCCCACUCUGGAUGAGGAGGCGGCAGAGCCGUGUCUCUCUAUUGCCCAGAGAAGAGCCCCUUCUCCCACGGAAGCUGCUCUGCUCUCCACCCUGUACGCCAGCUCCCAACUGCUCUUCAACAGCCCAGGCGCGGGCACGAGGAGGACGCGUUUGACGGGAGCCCACAUGUCACCCUCCCUCCCAGCCGGGCGAUGCCUCUCCUACAGCUUCCCUCCAACUGACUGUCCUAAUCAGGCUCCAGAGGGGAGGCUGAUUGGAGCUGCGGUGGGUGGAAGCCGGGAUAGACUGGAAGAAGGACUUCCCAGACUCCCAGGGAGACCCAGGAAGCAGGGGAGGGUGUGGGACCCACUACAGCACCCCCACCAACCCAGGAAGGUCUCCAGCCCUGCUCAGACCAUCACAGAUUCUCACCCCGCCCAGGCCAGCCCAGGUGGAGGCUGGAUCCCGGCCCAUGGUGCUCACAGGCCCCCGCCCCGGGUAGCUGGGAAGGGCGUGCGGGCUGCGUGG
rnacentral:lncRNA from 10 species